CCUACGGGUGGCAGCAGUCGAGAAUCAUUCACAAUGGGGGAAACCCUGAUGGUGCGACGCCGCGUGGGGGAAUGAAGGUCUUCGGAUUGUAAACCCCUGUCAUGUGGGAGCAAAUUAAAAAGAUAGUACCACAAGAGGAAGAGACGGCUAACUCUGUGCCAGCAGCCGCGGUAAUACAGAGGUCGCAAGCGUUGUUCGGAUUCACGGGGCGUAAGGCGUGCGUAGGCGGUUUCGUAAGUCGUGUGUGAAAGGCGCGGGCCCAACCCGCGGACGGCACAUGAUACUGCGAGGCUAGAGUAAUGGAGGGGGAGCCGGAAUUCUCGGUGUAGCAGUGAAAUGCGUAGAUAUCGGGAGGAACACUAGUGGCGAAGGCGGGUUCCUGGACAUUAACUGACGCUGAGGCACGAAGGCCAGGGGAGCGAAAGGGAUUAGAUACCCCUGUAGUC
rnacentral:rRNA from 1 species